UACACACCGCCCGUCACACCAUGGGGAGUCGAUUGCUCCAGAAGUGGCUACGCCCAACCCCGCAAGGGGAGGCAGGCCCCCCAAGGAGUGGUUGGUAACUGGGGUG
rnacentral:rRNA from 1 species